GUAGCAAGCUGCAAUGAAGGCUGAGAGCUGUAGUAUCUGUAGGCCACAGUGCCUUAUGAAAGAGCAGGGGAGCAGCAGUCUGCUCCAUUUUAUAAAGAAUAACUCAGCCUCAGUUGAUAAGGGCUGAAAGCUCUACAGAGUGAUGGUCGGUGCCGCAGAGAGUCCGGGAGAGGAAAGCUAAAGGAAAAUGCAAAAGGAAAACAAGGGGCUGUCCAGAAGGUUUUUGAAUGUACCAGCGGUCACUUGGGAACAUCAUAAGAGGAGAUCUGGAUUACUAAGAUGUGUACACUGAUGGCAAUAAAGCAC